GGAAGUGUAGCUCAGGGGUAUAGCACUUGCCUAGUAUGCAUGAGGCCCUAGGUUCCAACCCCAGCACCA
rnacentral:tRNA from 1 species